rnacentral:rRNA from 1 species
UACGUAGGUGGCAAGCGUUGUCCGGAUUUACUGGGCGUAAAGAGCGCGCAGGCGGUCGUUCAAGUCGCGUGUGAAAGCCCCCGGCUCAACUGGGGAGGGUCACGCGAUACUGAUCGACUCGAAGGCAGGAGAGGGUAGUGGAAUUCCCGGUGUAGCAGUGAAAUGCGUAGAUAUCGUAAGGAAGACCAGUGGCGAAGGCGAGUUUCUGGACAGUUACUGACGCUGAGGCACGAAGGCCAGGGGAGCAAACGGG